rnacentral:rRNA from 1 species
UCAACUUGAGAGUUUGAUCCUGGCUCAGAACGAACGCUGGCGGCAGGCCUAACACAUGCAAGUCGAGCGAGACCUUCGGGUCUAGCGGCGGACGGGUUAGUAACGCGUGGGAACGUGCCCUUCUCUGCGGAAUAGCCACUGGAAACGGUGAGUAAUACCGCAUACGCCCUUCGGGGGAAAGAUUUAUCGGAGAAGGAUCGGCCCGCGUUAGAUUAGAUAGUUGGUGGGGUAACGGCCUACCAAGUCUACGAUCUAUAGCUGGU